UGGAUGCACUUAGUGGCGGACGGGUGAGUAACGCGUGGGUACCUGCCUCACACUGGGGGAUAACAGUUAGAAAUAGCUGCUAAUACCGCAUAAGUCCGCAUGGAAAAAACUCCGGUGGUGUGAGAUGGACCCGCGUCUGAUUAGCCAGUUGGCGGGGUAACGGCCCACCAAAGCGACGAUCAGUAGCCGGCCUGAGAGGGUGAACGGCCACAUUGGGACUGAGACACGGCCCAAACUCCUACGGGAGGCAGCAGUGGGGAAUAUUGCACAAUGGGGGAAACCCUGAUGCAGCGACGCCGCGUGAGUGAAGAAGUAUUUCGGUAUGUAAAGCUCUAUCAGCAGGGAAGAAGUGACGGUACCUGAAUAAGAAGCCCCGGCUAACUACGUGCCAGCAGCCGCGGUAAUACGUAGGGGGCAAGCGUUAUCCGGAUUUACUGGGUGUAAAGGGAGCGUAGACGGCAAGGCAAGUCUGAAGUGAAAGCCCGGUGCUUAACGCCGGGACUGCUUUGGAAACUGUUUGGCUGGAGUGCCGGAGAGGUAAGCGGAAUUCCUAGUGUAGCGGUGAAAUGCGUAGAUAUUAGGAAGAACACCAGUGGCGAAGGCGGCUUACUGGACGGUAACUGACGUUGAGGCUC
rnacentral:rRNA from 1 species